UAACACACUCUUAUUCUGAGUUCUAGUACGUAUUUUUUGUUUGAAGAAACUAAAUUAAGAAGCUGAAGGGUACGCCGUAAUAAAGCGUCAAACGACAUGUUUGAAAAAAUUGAAACAGCAUUUAAAUCAUGACAUAGUCAUGUUUCUACAUCAUAUGGUGGUGUAUUUUUAUAAAUAUUUAAUUUUUAUGCCUGCAAGGAAUUGAAUUUCAAGACUUCAAGCAAUCAGUUUCUUUCUGUCUGUCAAUACAUUACGAACUCCAGUUAAAAAUGAUACGGUACCCGUUCUAAAUGCUUUUUUUGAAUAUCUAAAUAAAUUAAAUAAUAGGACAGCGGCAUAAGUUCAUCUUUUUGAUAAAGUACGCAGUAACACUAAUAAUUCUUGUUACAAAUCGCUAAAUAGUUUUGAAGACGUUAACAAACUUUAUCAGUACAUCAUUAAUAUAGCACCAUUUGCCCACUAUGGAAACAUUACAGGAUAUACAAAAUAUUUUCAAGGAUAACAACAACAAAAGACUUUCAAAUCUACAGAAAAUUUUAAAUCACGAUUUUUCUAAUAAUUUUAAUACCGAAAAUAAGAAUAUUUGGAUCAUCGGCGUAGGAUUCAGCAAAUCUUAAUUUUCCAGAAAUUAAACGAAUCUUUGCAGAGAAUGUUUAUCUAUUGUCACUGAGAUAUGUAAGGCAAAGAAAAAAUUUGGAAGAAUGUACAAGCAAACCAUUUGAAAAUAGUAAAACGUUUUAAAAGACAGGAAACAGAAAUUGCAGAGGGUUAAAAGGAUAAAGAUAUUUUUCUUUAACGAUUUCAAACUACUAACAAUGAAUCCAUCAGGUCAAGUGCCUCAAAAUAUUUGGAAAUUAUAUACACAGACGAAUGAAAUACAAAUACUUUAUCACAUAACAAAAGUAUCUCGCCAAACGGUUUUGUCGAUUUAAAUCGCUAUCACUACAAUCUUCAUAAUCUAUACAAUAUUAUUGCCAGACGUUAAUUUUACAGAUACAGGUACGAGAUAUGAGGAAAUGGAAAAUAAAUUGUUUUUAUUCCAAUGACAAUAAAGCUGCGAAUAAAAUUUCGAUAUAAGUUUUAGUUGGCUCCUGACAUCCACAAAUUAACUUCAAAAAAGAUGUUUUUCUAAAUUACAUUUAAUUAAGAUCCUGCACGAAAAUAAUUCGACAAAAUAUUAUUUUUGAAGUUAAUUUCUGAUUUUCAGAGUCCAACUAAAAUAAUAAGAAGACAAAUUCCAAAUGGAUUCAUGUUAUUGAAAGAGCUGUAAAUCUAAUCACAUCAUUUAUUCCAAUGACAAUGAAGCUGUGAAUAAAAUUUUGAUUGCAGUUUUACUUGGCCCCUGACAUCCACAAAUUAACUUCAAAAACAUGUUUUUUUAAAUUACAUUUAAUUAAGAUCCUGCACGAAAGUAAUUCGAAAAAUUUUAUUUUUGAAUUCAAUUUGUGAUUUUCAGGGUCCAAGUAAAAUGACUAUGAAAAUUUUAUGCAACUGCUCUUAAGCAUCGGGUACCAAGACAACGACCAGCAGUUCCAAACCCAGCCCUUAUCUUUAUCCUCUUAAAGAUUCUAAUUUUUAACAUUAAGCAUUGUAUUAUUGUCAAGCCUUUCUUUCUUGUUUGGUUAUUAAAUAAAUAUUCUCUCACAACAUUUAGUAGUAUCAUUGACAAAUCCUCAUCCCAAUUUAGAUUCAUUUCGAAACUAUAAUCACACAAUUUUACCUCAAUGGAAAACCUCCCGUUUGAUAUAUCUCAACUACAGUCGAGUUAUUAUUAGAGUUUAUUACAAAUGUCAAUUAUUGAAAAAAUUAUUUAUAAAAAGUUAAUGCAGCAGGUUCAACCAUUAAAAACUUUGUACAAGUUGCCUAGCAGCAUUAGAUGUUUUUAAAUCUCUGGCUGAUAAAUAUUUUAUUUUCAAUAGCUCGUUUAUGUAAUCAUUGUUGACUUCAUGUUCAUCUAUUUUGUAAGGUGCUUUAGAAAAAAUCACUGCUAUACUCCGAAAGAAGUCGAAAAACUUAUCUCCAAUAUCAAGAGCAUUUAAAAGGUUUAUAAAUUUUCCAAUAUUAUCACCAGAAAGGUCAUUCAAAUCAAUAACAAGAAUAAAUUUUAGGGCUUUAACAUCUUUUACCAAUUGAUGCAAAUAAAAAGUGUUAGUAAUAUCUAUUGUCAUUAAAUCCUGGAGAAUC